rnacentral:rRNA from 1 species
AUUGAACGCUGGCGGCAGGCCUAACACAUGCAAGUCGAGCGGUAGCACAGAGAGCUUGCUCUCGGGUGACGAGCGGCGGACGGGUGAGUAAUGUCUGGGAAACUGCCUGAUGGAGGGGGAUAACUACUGGAAACGGUAGCUAAUACCGCAUAAUGUCGCAAGACCAAAGUGGGGGACCUUCGGGCCUCAUGCCAUCAGAUGUGCCCAGAUGGGAUUAGCUAGUAGGUGGGGUAACGGCUCACCUAGGCGACGAUCCCUAGCUGGUCUGAGAGGAUGACCAGCCACACUGGAACUGAGACACGGUCCAGACUCCUACGGGAGGCAGCAGUGGGGAAUAUUGCACAAUGGGCGCAAGCCUGAUGCAGCCAUGCCGCGUGUGUGAAGAAGGCCUUCGGGUUGUAAAGCACUUUCAGCGGGGAGGAAGGCGGUGAGGUUAAUAACCUCAUCGAUUGACGUUACCCGCAGAAGAAGCACCGGCUAACUCCGUGCCAGCAGCCGCGGUAAUACGGAGGGUGCAAGCGUUAAUCGGAAUUACUGGGCGUAAAGCGCACGCAGGCGGUCUGUCAAGUCGGAUGUGAAAUCCCCGGGCUCAACCUGGGAACUGCAUUCGAAACUGGCAGGCUAGAGUCUUGUAGAGGGGGGUAGAAUUCCAGGUGUAGCGGUGAAAUGCGUAGAGAUCUGGAGGAAUACCGGUGGCGAAGGCGGCCCCCUGGACAAAGACUGACGCUCAGGUGCGAAAGCGUGGGGAGCAAACAGGAUUAGAUACCCUGGUAGUCCACGCCGUAAACGAUGUCGAUUUGGAGGUUGUGCCCUUGAGGCGUGGCUUCCGGAGCUAACGCGUUAAAUCGACCGCCUGGGGAGUACGGCCGCAAGGUUAAAACUCAAAUGAAUUGACGGGGGCCCGCACAAGCGGUGGAGCAUGUGGUUUAAUUCGAUGCAACGCGAAGAACCUUACCUGGUCUUGACAUCCACAGAACUUUCCAGAGAUGGAUUGGUGCCUUCGGGAACUGUGAGACAGGUGCUGCAUGGCUGUCGUCAGCUCGUGUUGUGAAAUGUUGGGUUAAGUCCCGCAACGAGCGCAACCCUUAUCCUUUGUUGCCAGCGGUUAGGCCGGGAACUCAAAGGAGACUGCCAGUGAUAAACUGGAGGAAGGUGGGGAUGACGUCAAGUCAUCAUGGCCCUUACGACCAGGGCUACACACGUGCUACAAUGGCAUAUACAAAGAGAAGCGACCUCGCGAGAGCAAGCGGACCUCAUAAAGUAUGUCGUAGUCCGGAUUGGAGUCUGCAACUCGACUCCAUGAAGUCGGAAUCGCUAGUAAUCGUAGAUCAGAAUGCUACGGUGAAUACGUUCCCGGGCCU